rnacentral:rRNA from 1 species
AUUGAACGCUGGCGGCAGGCGUAACACAUGCAAGUCGAGCGGAGCGAGGGUGCUUGCACCUUAGCUUAGCGGCGGACGGGUGAGUAAUGCUUAGGAAUCUGCCUACUAGUGGGGGACAACAUUCCGAAAGGAAUGCUAAUACCGCAUACGCCCUACGGGGGAAAGCAGGGGAUCUUCGGACCUUGCGCUAAUAGAUGAGCCUAAGUCGGAUUAGCUAGUUGGUGGGGUAAAGGCCUACCAAGGCGACGAUCUGUAGCGGGUCUGGGAGGAUGAUCCGCCACACUGGGACUGAGACACGGCCCAGACUCCUACGGGAGGCAGCAGUGGGGAAUAUUGGACAAUGGGCGGAAGCCUGAUCCAGCCACGCCGCGUGUGUGAAGAAGGCCUUUUGGUUGUAAAGCACUUUAAGCGAGGAGGAGGCUACUUAGAUUAAUACUCUGGGAUAGUGGACGUUACUCGCAGAAUAAGCACCGGCUAACUCUGUGCCAGCCGCCGCGGUAAAAC